rnacentral:rRNA from 1 species
GACGAACGCUGGCGGCGUGCCUAAUACAUGCAAGUAGAACGCUGAAGAGAGGAGCUUACUCUUCUUGGAUGAGUUGCGAACGGGUGAGUAACGCGUAGGUAACCUGCCUUGUAGCGGGGGAUAACUAUUGGAAACGAUAGCUAAUACCGCAUAACAAUGGAUGACACAUGUCAUUUAUUUGAAAGGGGCAAUUGCUCCACUACAAGAUGGACCUGCGUUGUAUUAGCUAGUAGGUGAGGUAAUGGCUCACCUAGGCGACGAUACAUAGCCGACCUGAGAGGGGGGUCAGCCAACCUGGGACUGGGACCCGGCCCAGACUUCCUAGGGGGGCAGCAAGAGGGGAACUUCGGCAAAGGGGGGAACGCUGGCCGAGCACCGCCGGGGGAGGGGAGGAAGGUCUCGGGUCGGUAAAGUCUGUUGUAUGGGAAGGAAGAGUGUGAGAUUGAAAAGUUCAUACUGUGACGGUAGCUUACCAGAAAGCAACGGCUAACUACGUG